rnacentral:rRNA from 1 species
AGCCGCGGUAAUUCCAGCUCCAAUAGCGUAUAUUAAAAUUGUUGCAGUUAAAACGCUCGUAGUUGAACUUCAAGGGUAUCAUUAUUUUAAGCAACUCACUUGGCGAGAUCUUGGCUCUGCCUCGCUAUCUCUAUGCCUCGUUGCAGUUCUUUUAAUUACCGGCCCUUUGAGAGCCCUUUGAGCAAUCACUGGGUUUCUCGUUACUUUGAGUAAAUUAGAGUGUUCAAAGCAAACAUUUAAAGCGUUUUCGCGUUUGAAUACUAUAGCAUGGAAUAACAAAAUUGAACAAGUCAAAUUUGUUCUUUUUUCUUAUUUUGGCUUAGUUACGAUUAAUAGGAGUAGCUUGGGGGCAUUUGUAUUCAGAUGUCAGAGGUGAAAUUCUUAGAUUUUCUGGAGACAAACAACUGCGAAAGCAUUUGCCUAAAAUACUGCAGCCGCGGUAAUUCCAGCUCCAAUAGCGUAUAUUAAAAUUGUUGCAGUUAAAACGCUCGUAGUUGAACUUCAAGGGUAUCAUUAUUUUAAGCAACUCACUUGGCGAGAUCUUGGCUCUGCCUCGCUAUCUCUAUGCCUCGUUGCAGUUCUUUUAAUUACCGGCCCUUUGAGAGCCCUUUGAGCAAUCACUGGGUUUCUCGUUACUUUGAGUAAAUUAGAGUGUUCAAAGCAAACAUUUAAAGCGUUUUCGCGUUUGAAUACUAUAGCAUGGAAUAACAAAAUUGAACAAGUCAAAUUUGUUCUUUUUUCUUAUUUUGGCUUAGUUACGAUUAAUAGGAGUAGCUUGGGGGCAUUUGUAUUCAGAUGUCAGAGGUGAAAUUCUUAGAUUUUCUGGAGACAAACAACUGCGAAAGCAUUUGCCUAAAAUACUUCCAUUAAUCAAGAACGAAAGUUAAGGGAGUGAAGACGAUCAGAUACCGUCGUAAUCUUAACCAUAAACUAUGCCGACUAGGUUUUGGAUGAAAAUUUUUAAAUAAGGUUUCCCUCCGGGGAUUCCUUAGAUUGCUUCCUUCAGUACCUUAU